AUGCCUAACACAUGCAAGUCGUACGAGGAUUUCAUAUCCAAGUGGCGGACGGGUGAGUAACACGUGAGAAUUUACCCUAAGGAGGGGGACAACAACUGGAAACGGUUGCUAAUACCCCAUAUGCUUUCGAGUGAAAAAGAUUUAUCUGCCUUAGGAAAAGCUCGCGGCUGAUUAGCUAGUUGGUAAGGUAAUGGCUUACCAAGGCGACGAUCAGUAUCUGGUUUGAGAGGACGAUCAGACACACUGGAACUGAGACACGGUCCAGACUCCUACGGGAGGCAGCAGUGGGGAAUUUUCCGCAAUGGGCGAAAGCCUGACGGAGCAAUACCGCGUGAGGGAAGACUGCCUAUGGGUUGUAAACCUCUUUUUUCAGGGAGGAAUUUUGACGUGUACCUGAAGAAUAAGCAUCGGCUAACUCCGUGCCAGCAGCCGCGGUAAGACGGAGGAUGCAAGUGUUAUCCGGAAUCACUGGGCGUAAAGCGUCUGUAGGUGGUUAAGCAAGUCAACUGUUAAAUCUUGAGGCUCAACUUCAAAAUCGCAGUCGAAACUGUUUGACUAGAGUAUAGUAGGGGUAAAGGGAAUUUCCAGUGGAGCGGUGAAAUGCGUAGAUAUUGGAAAGAACACCGAUGGCGAAGGCACUUUACUGGGCUAUUACUGACACUCAGAGACGAAAGCUAGGGUAGCAAAUGGGAUUAGAUACCCCAGUAGUCCUAGCCGUAAACAAUGGAUACUAGAUGUUGAACAGAUCGACCUGUGCAGUAUCAAAGCUAACGCGUUAAGUAUC
rnacentral:rRNA from 1 species